GCUUCCGUAGCUCAGUUGGUUAGAGCGGCGUACUAAUAAUGCGAAGGUCUCAGGUUCAAGCCCUGGCGGGAGCA
rnacentral:tRNA from 1 species